AAUGUUUGACGCCAUUGACUUUUUUAAACAUGUUUGAUCGUUCGUCUUAUUCAAAAAAUUUAAGUAAUUAUUAAUUUUUUUCCUAUCAUUUGAUUCAUUAAUUAUUAAAUAUAUUUUUAUGUAGGCAUAUAAUUUUACAUAUUUCACAAAAAUUUUUGAAUAAGACGAACGGUCAAACAUGUGCUAAAAAGCCAACGGUGUCAAACAUU
rnacentral:pre_miRNA from 1 species